CCAAAUUACACUCACGAAUGGACAAAAUUUCCUCACUGCCCAACUCACAGAAAUCUCCAUAUCCACCCAUUUCGAGUCUCGGAAGGGAGAAAGCAAGCUCCGGUCGGCAUGUGCUUGAAGAUCUCCGGCCGCAAGGAGCCCUAGCGCACUCGCACAUGCAAAUGAAUUUCACAAAUCUUGUGAAAACUCUCAUUUCCACCUAAUCUUAGUCUCGUCUGGUAAGCGUAUAAAUGCAUAAUGUUGAUUUAGAUUCCAUAUUUACAGAUCAGAUGUCUGUUGAUAAAAAAUCUGGAAAAAAAAAUCGUAUCUGUUUUAGUUAUAUUUAUCGUUCUCUCCAUAUACCUGUGAUUUUUUCUUUUUUUUUCCCUUGGAUUGAAGAUUUUACCAGUGCUCUGUUAUUUUUAUAUUUGAAAUGUUAAACGUAGAAGACCACAUUUGAAUUGGUAGCAAUCAAAUUUCUCUACACACGAGUUUGGAUUUUUGCUUCACUAUUGUGGAUCUAUGUAAUAGCUGCUGGGCGCAAUUAGAAGUUUCAUUAUCAUGUUUAGUUUUUCCAUUAUCUCCUGCCUCUCAAUUUUUAUUUUUUAUUUUUUGCCAUGUUGAGAUAAAUCGAAUUACAGGAGUUUGGUCUUUAUUGAAGUAAGAUUUGCUAGCAUUGAUAUUGGAUCUUUGGUGAAACAUAGUAUUUGGUUGAAUCUUUUUCUGGGGCCAAAACGUGUCUCCUAACUUAUUAAAUCCGGUGUGUCAUCUAGAUUGGUCCCCUCAAUGCCAUCAGGCAUUUCCUACAUAAAGACCAUGUGGACGUUUGUAACCAUUUUCGCACCAAUGUUUCAGUAUAAUCAGUGGAUAAUUAAUCUGAGUUUCACAUGUGCAUCAUAUAAAUUGGUGUUUGAUGAUGUUGGCUUAAGUUUGGAACCUGCCUCUCUAUUACAAUUUGCUGGUGUACCACUAGGAUCAUGAGAAACUGUGGUUGGAAUACUUAUAAAUUUCUUAUUGAUGCAUAAUAUUGUUUGCCAACAAAUUCCUUUGUGUUAUUUUCCUUCGAACAACAGUGUUUUCUAUUUGAGUUGAUGCUCUGUGAUAUGUUCGCAUCGCAAAAUGGGCUAUAAGAAUUGUGGAAUCUGUCACAGUUGUAGAGUUGAGGGGCAUUUCUUAGCUGACUGUCCAUGGAAACGCCAACGCCCAAAUUGGGAGCACAGAUUUGAGCAAAGUUUCAUGGUGGAGGAGACUAAAAAUAUAGGGCGAUUAUUUUUUUGCUACAGUAAGAAAUGUGGAUUUUGGAAAUGGGUUUUCAAAGAAAAUUAAAGCAGCCAAUUGUCUAGAGCUAGCGCUUCUUUGGUUAACUUUGCAACUAACGAAACAUCUGAACAAAUAUCACACAUGUUUCAAUCUCAAGUUUGCAUCUCUGUGAAAGAAGAUCUACAUAUUAUGGUGAACGUAAAGGUGUGCAAGAAAUUGCCAAAAUGAAUUGAGAAGGAAAGGGGUCGACCUGAUUGGUAGCUAUUAAUUGAAGUAAUAGUUAUUACAUAAUCUUUUGUACGAGGUCGGACUACUUUGAGCGAAGGAAUGUAAACUAUGUUUGUAAAUUACGUUAAUUUAUGAAAUGUUAUAUUUCAACUCUUUUUUUUAACAUCAA
rnacentral:lncRNA from 1 species